rnacentral:rRNA from 1 species
UACGGAGGAUGCGAGCGUUAUCCGGAAUCACUGGGUUUAAAGGGUGCGUAGGCGGGUUCAUAAGUCAGUGGUGAAAUCUGGUCGCUUAACGAUCAAAUUGCCUCUGAAACUGUGGAUCUUGAAAUAUGAUGAGGCUGGCAGAAUGUGACAUGUAGCGGUGAAAUGCAUAGAUAUGUCAUAGAAUACCAAUUGCGAAGGCA